rnacentral:rRNA from 1 species
AUGAACAAGAUAGCGGCGGGAGCAUUCGCAGAUCUGCCCCGCAGUGUGUCCGACGCUGCCGCAUUCUACCGAGCCGAGGAAGGGAGCUCGACAGAGAAGGUGUUCUGGUCCCAGUAUGUUGAGGCCGGACACCCGGUGCCCAUGAGCGACCAGCUGAAACAGCUGGUCGAGCUCCAUAAGGUAGCCGAACAGGCCAUGAAGGGCCUUAUAGGCCGGCUAUGGCCUGGGGAGGUCAUGCCUGUGAGCUACUUUGGGCUGGUGAGGCGGCUGGUGGAUGUUUGUCCAUGGCUUGAAAUCAUCAAGCGCUCCUUAUGCAUUGAAGGCGCCCAUAGGGCCCUUGCCCGUGUUAAAGUACACUGGGGCAAGAUGGAUGCUGAGAAGCUAGUGACAGGUGGGCCACCGGAGGGGAAGGAGCAUCGCAAGCCCAAGUUGUAUUAUGAGGGCGUCCUGAAGGGUGCCUACCUUGUGGCGAAUGAGUGUUCCAAGGAUGUAAUUUUUGAGUAA